UUGGAAGUGAUGAUUAUUUCCCCAGAUGAUCGAAGUUGAUAUUACUGAGCGCAUUAUAGAAUUCUCUUUUUCAGAGAGAAUCCAAGCCAGAAAUCUGAUCCAC